UUUUAAACCAUAGUUUUGCCAAGACACAUACAAUAUCCUAAUCCUAUAUCAUUUACCCUUUCGAGACACGUGUAGCAGCUAAACAAUAACCCAAUUUAUUGCACAAUUUGUAUACCCCCCAAAUGUCAUUGCAUUAAACAUGCCAAUAACCCUAAGACGAUUUCAUUUUCUCUGGCACAACGCAUAGCAUUGUUUGUUUUCCAUUUUUCACUGGAAACUCAAUCUCAGUCUCCAUCAAUUAAAGAUCAGAAGCAAAUAAUUCAUGGGAUUGUAUUUGAAACAAAUUAGAUUGAAGAACUUUUGUUGGUGUCGAUUGCAAAUCAGGAAGAAAGUUGAGAAAUUGGAAGCUGUUAAUAGAAAUACGAAGGUAAGAUUCAACACAUCCCUGUAUCUAUUGUUCAUAUUUCUUCAUUAUUAAUAGAAAAUAUACAUAUUUACAUAUAAUAACUUACCUAUUGAAUAUGCAGGAAUAAUUUCUUUGAAGAUGAUAGGCAAAACACGUUCUCCUCAAAACGAAAAUGAAUAUUGGGUGUAUCUGAAAUGAUCAGGUACUUUGAAGAGUAAAUUACACGAAUGGUCACUAUGGUUAGGGUAAUUUGCAAGUUUGAUUCCUAACUUAAUUUUUUAACUCGGAAGGUCCUUACUGUUUUGUUUUUGUUACGCACUUGGUCCCUGUCUUACCUAAAAAGACUAUUUUGCCCUUGAUUUUUAAAUAUUUUUUAAAUAAACACACCCCAACCCUACCCACCUCUCAUUACCUUACCUACCUCACCAUUUUUUCCUAUUUAAAUAAUAGUCUUUUUAAGUAAGAUAGGGACCAAGCGUGUAACAAACACAAACAGUAGGGACCUUCCGAGUUAAAAAAAUAAGUUAGAGAUCAAGCGUGCAAAUUACCCCAAACCAUAGGGACCAUUCGUGUAAUUUACUCUACUUUGAAAGCUUUCAGCAAAUAUAAUUGUUCAAUUUUGAAAAUCGAAAAUGCUAAAUUAGGAGAUGAAUCUUGAUCAUAUAUAUUCAAAAUUAAAUAGAUUUUUUUUUUCAUUAUUUACCUUCCUUACACAGAGAAACAAUCACAACCCUUGUGGAAAUCAUCUUAAAUUGUGUAUGAAACGGAAAUUUUGAUUUUAUAUAUAUGAGCUUCGAAUCGUUUUUUUUUUCUAAAGUUUCUGGGCAAAACAUAUUGAGAUAAAAUAAACAUUGAUGGAUGUUUGUCUGGGGUUAGCAUGCUAUUCAAAAGAAAAAUAGAAUUGCUACCCUAUAAUCAUUUGAACAAACCAUGUCUCUUAUGUAUAGAGUUGACCACUGCAUAUUUUAGUUGUACAUUUAAUAGAGUAAAUUGUUAUGAACAAUUUUAGGUGAUUUUUUAGAUCUAGGAUGUGAAAGUAUUUCGGUCUCUUCUUUCUUUUAUAUAUCAAAUUUGAAGAUGGAUCUAUAACAGCAUAAAAGUGUCAUAUAGCCAUGCUGGAAAUGACUGCAAUUUCAUGAUAUCAACCCUUACAAUUAUGCAAUUACCAUACAUAUUUUAUUAAGAUAUAAAGUUGAAUAUUUCGACUGUUACUUGAAUUUUUAGUUCAACAUCAUUUAUAUUUUGAAGGUUUAGUUUAAGUGCUUUAUUUAUAUUACAAUUUUGGUUUAUUUAUGCAAGAUUCUAAAUUUACAUAAGCAUAUUCCUACGAUUUACAUGUAUAUCAUGAUCAACCUAGCACCAAAUUGUGAUCUCUUCAAUCAUCUGUCGUUAUUUUUUUCUAUUGCGCAUCGUAGCAAGAUUAAAAUAAGAGUAAUGUCCAGUUAUAGAAAAGGGUAAAAUUGUCCAGUUAUGUUAAAAAACUAUUUGCAUAAAGGGUAAUAGUAGAUAACACAUAAACAGAAAAGGGCAGAAUUGUCCAGUUCUGUUAAUAAAACAUAUUUGCAUAUUUUUUUACUUUUUAUUAGUAUAUAACACAUAAACAGAAAAAUAAAGGAAUAAAAACAUCAUAAAUAAGAGUAAUGUCAUAAAUAAGAGUAGUGUCACGAGCAUAUGCAAAAGUAUGUUACCCUAUUAGGAAUGUCAUUAUUAGGUAUAAGAUACCAGAAAAGGGCAGAAUUGUCCAGUUCUGUUAAUUUUUUUAGCAUAUUUUUUACUUUCUAUUAGUAUAUAACAACAUAUAAACAGAAAAAUAAAAGAAUAAAACAUUAUAAAUAAUAGUAAUGUCAUAAACAUAUUCAAAAGUAGGUUGCCCUAUUAGGAAUGUCAUGUCAAUAUUUGAUAUUGCAUAACAGAAAAGGGCAUAAUUGUCGAGUUUUGUUAAAAAAAAAUUUGCAUAUUUUUUAUUAGCAUAUGGAAACAGAAGCAGUACACUUUUUGUUACCACUGCAUCAAUAUCACUAUUUGUUAUGAUUGAAACAUAUAAUAAAGAUUUAGUGGUUUGAAGUCCAUCCGUAUUGAACAUGACUCAUGGGUAACUACAGUUUAAAGUUUUUUUUAUAGAAAAAAAGCAAUAGACAUUUGCCGUAUACGGAUACAUAUAUGCAUACCUAUGCAUAACAUGAGGAGAAGGAGAACUGUAACAGAAGAACAAUACUUACUGUAACUGAAUAAGAAGUAUAGAUGAGAAUAAAUUACUAGAUUCGCAAAGAAAAAGACGUACAGAGGAACUAAAGUUUGAAAGACGCAAAUGUUAGAAAUAUUUUUAGAUGACAGAUUUAUAUAAAUGAUGAAAGCGCAAAGAUUAUUUCAUUCCCUAUUAUAAUGCAGAUAUAAUGGGUAAAAGAUAAAUAAAAUCAAAAAGAUUGCUUAGAAUAUGGUAACAGAGUUGCUAAUUAGUAGGAGACUCCCAAAUUAUCGUUUUCUAUGAUUUUGAUUUGAUCAAAACAUUUUCUAUGUAUUUGAUUUUCGUUAUUAAUGCAAUGGGCGGGAAAAGAUUUCUAAGGAGAUGUGAGAAAAUUACACAUGGAUUGAAGGAGUUUAUAAGAGGGACACGUGGCACCUUAGAUAGCCUUUUAUUAGGAAGAGAGAUAUGUCUUUGUUUAUACAUAUUAAAAUGCAUGCAUGUGAUAUUUAUUUUAUGUUAUUGUACUUUAUGUUUUAUGUAUGAAAAUGAGUCUUACAUUUCAAACAACAUUUUAACAUAAGAUAAUAUCACUUGGAGUUUGAGUACAAAAUAUUUAAAA
rnacentral:lncRNA from 1 species